rnacentral:lncRNA from 1 species
GUAUGUGAAAGCGGCUGAACCUGUUCAAUCCGAAAGAAGAUUCCAAAAGGGCACAAAUUGGAAAUAUGUUGAAUAAGCGAUUAAUUGAGGAGGCAGAGCAGCUGAAAUAGAAAUGCAGAUAUUUCAGUUUGUAAUGUAAGAUGAUCGGGCUGCUAAAGUGCACGCCUCAAUUGAUCUCAUUGAUUGGUAUAUAUAUAGGGUUACAAAACUUGCAU